CCGGGAAGAGCUCAAAUUUGAAAUCUGGCGUCCUCAGGGCGUCCGAGUUGUAAUCUAUAGAGGCGUUUUCCGUGCCGGACCGUGUCCAAGUUCCUUGGAACAGGAUAUCAAAGAGGGUGACAAUCCCGUACUUGACACGACGACCGGUGCUCUGUGAUACGUCUUCUACGAGUCGAGUUGUUUGGGAAUGCAGCUCAAAAUGGGUGGUGAGUUCCAUCUAAAGCUAAAUAUUGGCGAGAGACCGAUAGCGAACAAGUACCGUGAGGGAAAGAUGAAAAGCACUUUGGAAAGAGAGUUAAACAGUACGUGAAAUUGUUGAAAGGGAAACGAUUGAAGUCAGUCGUGACCGAGAGGCUCAGCCGGUUCUGCCGGUGUAUUCCCCUCGGUCGGGUCAACAUCAGUUUUGUCCGGUGGAUAAGGGCGGUAGGAAGGUGGCACCCUCGGGUGUGUUAUAGCCUGCCGUCGCAUACAUCGGGUGAGACUGAGGAACGCAGCUCGCCUUUAUGGCCGGGGUUCGCCCACGUCCGAGCUUAGGAUGUUGACAUAAUGGCUUUAAACGACCCGUCUUG
rnacentral:rRNA from 1 species